rnacentral:rRNA from 1 species
AUUGAACGCUGGCGGCAUGCCUUACACAUGCAAGUCGAACGGUAACAGGUCUUCGGAUGCUGACGAGUGGCGAACGGGUGAGUAAUACAUCGGAACGUGCCUAGUAGUGGGGGAUAACUACUCGAAAGAGUGGCUAAUACCGCAUGAGAUCUACGGAUGAAAGCAGGGGAUCGCAAGACCUUGUGCUACUAGAGCGGCCGAUGGCAGAUUAGGUAGUUGGUGGGAUAAAAGCUUACCAAGCCGACGAUCUGUAGCUGGUCUGAGAGGACGAUCAGCCACACUGGGACUGAGAAACGGCCCAGACUCCUACGGGAGGCAGCAGUGGGGAAUUUUGGACAAUGGGCGCAAGCCUGAUCCAGCAAUGCCGCGUGCAGGAUGAAGGCCUUCGGGUUGUAAACUGCUUCUGUACGGAACGAAAAGCCCCGGGUUAAUACCCUGGGGUCAUGACGGUACCGUAAGAAUAAGCACCGGCUAACUACGUGCCAGCCGCCGCCGUAAAAC